UUUUCGGACGGGUGAGUAACGCGUGAGAACCUACCUUCAGAAUGGGGACAACAGUUGGAAACGACUGCUAAUACCCAAUGUGCCGAAAGGUGAAAGAUUUAUCGUCUGAAGAUGGGCUCGCGUCUGAUUAGCUAGAUGGUGGGGUAAGAGCCUACCAUGGCAACGAUCAGUAGCUGGUCUGAGAGGAUGAGCAGCCACACUGGGACUGAGACACGGCCCAGACUCCUACGGGAGGCAGCAGUGGGGAAUUUUCCGCAAUGGGCGAAAGCCUGACGGAGCAAUACCGCGUGAGGGAGGAAGGUCCUUGGAUUGUAAACCUCUUUUAUCAGGGAAGAAGUUCUGACGGUACCUGAUGAAUAAGCAUCGGCUAACUCCGUGCCAGCAGCCGCGGUAAUACGGAGGAUGCAAGCGUUAUCCGGAAUUAUUGGGCGUAAAGCGUCCGUAGGUGGUUAUGCAAGUCUGCCGUUAAAGAAUGGAGCUUAACUCCAUAGGAGCGGUGGAAACUGCAAGACUAGAGUACAGUAGGGGUAGCAGGAAUUCCCAGUGUAGCGGUGAAAUGCGUAGAUAUUGGGAAGAACAUCGGUGGCGAAAGCGUGCUACUGGGCUGAAACUGACACUGACUGACCCGGGGUCUUUUUGG
rnacentral:rRNA from 1 species